GUUUAGGAGUGAGCGUGUCGUGUUCGGAACCGGUGGCAAGUCCCCCUGACCGGGGCCUGUCCGUAGCGGGUGCGAGGCCCAUAGCCGCCGGGUCCGUCGCGAAUGCGAUCUCCUGGGAGUCGGGUUGCUUGGGAGUGCAGCCCCAAUCGGGUGGUAAACUCCACCUAAGGCUAAAUACCGCCGUGAGACCGAUAGCAAACAAGUACCGUGAGGGAAAGUUGCAAAGAACUUUGAAGAGAGAGUUCAAGAGUACGUGAAACUGCUCAGAGGUAAACGGGUGGGCCCUCGAAAUCCUGUGGCGAGAGGAUUCAGUCUUUGCCGGCGGACGUGUCGGAGGAAGAAACCGAGCAGGGCUUCCGCUGGACGCGGGCCGUCCUCCGAUGCGACCUCAACUGGCGCAGACGCAUUUGACUCUCGUUCCUUGGACGCUGCAGCCGGUCUGGAAGUGCAAGCGCGACGGCCUGAAGGCCGGGAAUCGGCAGGUGGCCGGUGGCACGCCCUGUGUGGGUUGCCGGUUGUUAGCCAUCUCGGCAGUGGCCCGUCUCCAGACCGAGGUGUCGCGAGUCCCUUCGGGGACUCCUCGUCUCCACCCCAGAGUCGCAGGGCAGGGCACGGCCCGGGCUCUUGGCGUCGACCCUCGCACUUCCACGGAGUGGGGGGAAGAGCCAUGGGCCCUAACCGCCGUGACGGACCUGCGGGGGACCGGAGGCUGGCAGCGAGUAGGUCGGUCACCCACCCGGCCCGUCUUGAAACACGGACCA
rnacentral:rRNA from 1 species